rnacentral:rRNA from 1 species
UACGUAGGUGGCAAGCGUUAUCCGGAAUUAUUGGGCGUAAAGAGCGCGCAGGUGGUUGAUUAAGUCUGACGUGAAAGCCCACGGCUUAACCGUGGAGGGUCAUUGGAAACUGGUCGACUUGAGUGCAGAAGAGGGAAGUGGAAUUCCAUGUGUAGCGGUGAAAUGCGUAGAGAUAUGGAGGAACACCAGUGGCGAAGGCGGCUUCCUGGUCUGUAACUGACACUGAGGCGCGAGAGCGUGGGGAGCAAACAGGAUUAGAUA